UCGGGUUUCAUAAGCAGGGCCCUGGCCCCACCUGAAAUUUCAUUGGCCCCUGAAUGGCCCCUGUACCGUCAAUCAUCAAUAAAUGUCAAACUUGUUGAGAACGAUGAUCAG